rnacentral:lncRNA from 1 species
AGAAAUGAAACAACCUGGUUCCUAUGAAGCCUCUUCUUGCUUCUUUUUGCCUCCCUGCGGGCCCCUUUGUCAGCACAGGGCAGGUGCUGAAGAACUUGUGCUCAUCUGGCCCAAGCGCCUCCUCCAUGUUUUCAUCCUUGACAAGCCCAGACCAGGAACUCAGUGUCCCCUCACAAGAGGACAAAUUUAAUUUCCUGCUUAUCCAAGAUUUGUUUUAUUUGAUAUGUAGGGACAAUGUGUUUAUAAAUGGUUAGCAGCUAUUAAGAGUGUAGAAAUGUGUCAUUUUCUUAACAGAUAGGAUCACCAACCCUCUUGAAAAAAAGUUGACAUCACUUUCUAAUAUGGCCCCUGUGUAAUGUCCCCAAGGCACUGUGUGAUGCCACAAAAGCAAAAUAAAAUAUUUGAAGUGUGUAGAUUUCAGUUUACAAAGGCCAGGCCUAUUGUUUGCCAAGGAAAAGAAAGCAGGAACCACUGGGUUCUCCGACAGUACUUACUUGGCUUUCUUCCUCUAAAAGAAUGAGGCAUUAUUAAUCCUUUUAUUUCUACCAGAGAGCACAGAGCAGCUGAGUGAUAGAUGUUAUCUAGCUUAAAUAUGCACUGGGUAAGCAUCUGAGUGCAGGUAGCACUGUUCUAGGAAUUAUGGGGCUCCUGGGAAAGCGUAAUGUGUUUAGUAGCUUAUAAUCCAUCAAUAUGAGUUGAUGUUGAUAAGUUCAUUAAUAUGAUUGAUGAACUUAUAAUUCAUCAACCCAUCAAAUGGCUGACAAGCACAUGAACUAUGCCAAAGGCGCUGGGGUGUGAUGGUGAGCUGAGUUGGGGGUCUAUUCUCUCUCAACUUACAAUCAACAAGAUGAGCAUUAAACAGGUAAAUGCACAAGAAAACAUGUACUGUGUUUCACUGCAUCUAAAGUACGGUUGAUCAUAAGACAUAUCACCAUGUAUGUACCACUGAAGUAAAAGCCUGACUGUCAUUGUUGGAUGUCGCCAAUUGUAAAGCACGGCUCUCUAUUUCACAGGUGUUAGAAUGGGAAAGAAUUGUGUGUCUUAGAAUCUGUGUGUGUAAGAAUUAACUUAUAAGUAAAUUAAUUACUAAUCACGGUGAGUUCUUUAUAGAAAAGAUGUUACAAGAAAGCCCAACAGAGAGCCCUGCUUUAGGAUGAGUGACAUUUCAGCUGAGGCUUGAAGGGUAAGGACAGGGGAGAAGAGUUGGUGGGAUGCUGUCUCCAAUGGGUGGUGCAGGAGAUAGGUGAACAGCGGCGCAGGGGAGGGAGAUCAAUAUGGUGGGGAUAGUCAGGGAAAUAUUGGAGGUGGGAAUUGAGCUGCAUUUUGAAUGAUUUGAGGUGGAAAAGGAAGGCCCAAACAAGGGACAUAACACUAGCUAAGGCCAAAAGCAAAAGAUAAUGGGUGAAAAAUC